GAAAGGCCCUGAAGCAAAGGUGUCCUUAUGAACUGUGUCAGGCCCGAGAGGGAGCAGCACUAAGUAAGACUCACCCUGUGCUUCUCGUUGAUUUGAAAUU
rnacentral:SRP_RNA from 2 species